CAAGGGCUAGGUGUGUUGUGAAGCAAGUAUCUUGAAGGAGAAAGAAGUGUCGUAUGCAAACAUCUGUAGGCAUACAUCCAGCUGCUCAAUUCACUAGAAAAGAAAGUAGUAAACUGCACCUGGAAAAUCUGCCUUCCACAAACCAAGAGCUAGCUGGUGCAGUGACAGCAAAAUAAAUUUAAUUCACAGACUCCUGUCAACCUCUGGAUCUUUGGAUCAGUUCUUACUCCCUCCUGGCCUCAUUCAUUGCUUCUGAGGAUGAAGCCCUACACACCUGCCAUGGUUGAAACUGUUCUUAUAUCAUCUUCCCAAUGCAGAGACUUCAAGCAUAUGAAAUCUUGAGGUUAAUGCCGUAGUCAAGGCUUCAACCAAAGCUGUUGCUGCAGACCUGAGCUGAUUUUUUUGAGAAUGCCAUGGUAGUUGCUAGUACUUAACAGAUAGAGGAAUUGUCAAAGAGAACAACACUGUGGCAGUGUUAUUGUGUUGGAUGUGUUAGAUGGCUAAUGAAAACUGCACAGAAAUGCAAGUUAUCCAAAGGAAUGCAAAAUUUCAGGAGUUUAAUACACUUCACUUGGCAAAUGAGUAAUUUCGGCCUUGCUGUGCUGAAAGAACAAAAUUGUCAUAUUUGUAAUGACACUACAGGAAUAAAGGACUAAAAGCGCA